rnacentral:rRNA from 1 species
GUGCCAGCCGCCGCGGUAAUACAGGGGGGGCAAGCGUUGUUCGGAAUUACUGGGCGUAAAGGGUUUGUAGGUGGCCACUUAAGUCAGACGUGAAAUCCCUCAGCUUAACUGGGGAACUGCGUCUGAUACUGAGUGGCUUGAGUGCAGGAGAGGAACGCGGAAUUCCAGGUGUAGCGGUGAAAUGCGUAGAUAUCUGGAGGAACACCGGUGGCGAAGGCGGCGUUCUGGACUGUAACUGACACUGAAAAACGAAAGCCAGGGGAGCAAACGGGAUUAGAAACCCGUGUAGUCC